rnacentral:snRNA from 1 species
AACUUAAACUCGAACAUAUCAAG